AGAUUUGACUGGGAAGAUUCUAUUUUAUGUCUAUUGCCUGGCCUUAGUAUUAACCAUUUCCUUUCCACUUUCAAGAACACUCAACUCGGAUGAUGCAACAUGGAGUCAAUGCAGUUAUUACUGACUUCAGUGAGAGCUACUUUGCAUGUGCUACAGGACUGAAAGCCUAAUUUGUAUAGUUUACUAAGUGAGUGGGAAGUGAGAAAAAGGAGCUGACUUAUAAAGUUUUGCCUUUUCUGAUUUUUUUUCCUUCCUGCCUGGAGCAUGUAUUCUGUGGCUGGAGGUGCAGCAACCAUUUUGAGAUAUGGUAAAAACUUGAGGAUGGGUGUCUCAUUCUAUAAAUAAUGAAAUGGGAAGAUCGAGGGAAGAUGGGACAAUAAUGCCACUGUGGAGUUACUGCAUGGCCCUGGAUCACUCAUCUCUAGAGAGUUCUGAUUCUGUAAAAUAAACAAACAAGUAACGUGGAAUUGAUACUGGCUCAAGACAAGGUUGACAUAAGGGAAGCCAUAUAGUAGAAAAGAAAAACUCUGUUGUUAACUGUGAAUGACCUCCGACAAACUAACCCAGCUGGGUCUGCACCCUCCAGGAGAUCUAACUGCUAGGUAGGUUUUACCACCCCUGCUUGUGCAUGGACCUCC